rnacentral:misc_RNA from 1 species
GAACGCACCUUGCGCCCUUUGGCUAUUCUGAAGGGCAUGCCUGUUUGAGUAUCAUGAACACCUCAACUCUCAUGGUCUGCCAUGAUGAGCUUGGACUUUGGGGGUCUUGCCGGCCUAGCGUCGGCUCCUCUCAAAUGCAUCAGCUUGCCAGUGUUUGGCGGCAUCACAGGUGUGAUAACUAUCUACGCUUGUGGUUUUCCGCCAUGUAACCUUCAGUGAUGGAGGUUCGCUGGAGCUCACAGAAGUCUCUCCUCGGCGAGGACAGCUUUUUGAACGUUUGAUCUCAAAUCAGGUAGGACUACCCGCUGAACUUAAG